rnacentral:rRNA from 1 species
GACGAACGCUGGCGGCGUGCCUAAUACAUGCAAGUCGAGCGGACGGAUGGGAGCUUGCUCCCAGACCGUCAGCGGCGGACGGGUGAGUAACACGUGGGCAACCUGCCUGUAAGACUGGGAUAACUCCGGGAAACCGGGGCUAAUACCGGAUAACUCUUUCCCUCACAUGAGGGAAAGCUGAAAGAUGGCAUCUCGCUAUCACUUACAGAUGGGCCCGCGGCGCAUUAGCUAGUUGGUGAGGUAACGGCUCACCAAGGCGACGAUGCGUAGCCGACCUGAGAGGGUGAUCGGCCACACUGGGACUGAGACACGGCCCAGACUCCUACGGGAGGCAGCAGUAGGGAAUCUUCCGCAAUGGACGAAAGUCUGACGGAGCAACGCCGCGUGAGUGAUGAAGGUCUUCGGAUCGUAAAACUCUGUUGUCAGGGAAGAAAAAGUACCGGAGUAACUGCCGGUACCUUGACGGUACCUGACCAGAAAGCCACGGCUAACUACGUG